CAUGCAAGUCGAGCGCCCCGCAAGGGGAGCGGCAGACGGGUGAGUAACGCGUGGGAAUCUACCCAGCUCUACGGAAUAGCUCCGGGAAACUGGAAUUAAUACCGUAUACGUCCGAUAGGAGAAAGAUUUAUCGGAAUUGGAUGAGCCCGCGUCGGAUUAGCUAGUUGGUGGGGUAACGGCCUACCAAGGCGACGAUCCGUAGCUGGUCUGAGAGGAUGAUCAGCCACACUGGGACUGAGACACGGCCCAGACUCCUACGGGAGGCAGCAGUGGGGAAUAUUGGACAAUGGGCGAAAGCCUGAUCCAGCCAUGCCGCGUGAGUGAUGAAGGCCUUAGGGUUGUAAAGCUCUUUCAGUGGGGAAGAUAAUGACGGUACCCACAGAAGAAGCCCCGGCUAACUUCGUGCCAGCAGCCGCGGUAAUACGAAGGGGGCUAGCGUUGUUCGGAUUUACUGGGCGUAAAGCGCACGUAGGCGGAUCGUUAAGUCGGGGGUGAAAUCCUGGAGCUCAACUCCAGAACUGCCCUCGAUACUGGCGAUCUAGAGUCCGGAAGAGGUGAGUGGAACUCCUAGUGUAGAGGUGGAAUUCGUAGAUAUUAGGAAGAACACCAGUGGCGAANGCGGCUCACUGGUCCGGUACUGACGCUGA
rnacentral:rRNA from 1 species